rnacentral:rRNA from 1 species
GACGAACGCUGGCGGCGUGCUUAACACAUGCAAGUCGUACGGUAAGGCCCUUUCGGGGGUACACGAGUGGCGAACGGGUGAGUAACACGUGAGUAACCUGCCCACAACUUUGGGAUAACGCUAGGAAACUGGUGCUAAUACUGGAUAUGUGCUCCUGCUGCAUGGUGGGGAUUGGAAAGCUCCGGCGGUUGUGGAUGGACUCGCGGCCUAUCAGCUUGUUGGUGGGGUAGUGGCCUACCAAGGCGGCGACGGGUAGCCGGCCUGAGAGGGUGACCGGCCACAUUGGGACUGAGAUACGGCCCAGACUCCUACGGGAGGCAGCAGUGGGGAAUAUUGCACAAUGGGCGCAAGCCUGAUGCAGCAACGCCGCGUGCGGGAUGACGGCCUUCGGGUUGUAAACCGCUUUCAGCAGGGACGAAGCUUUUUGUGACGGUACCUGCAGAAGAAGCACCGGCUAACUACGUG